GGGAAUUUACUUUGAAGGCCGA
rnacentral:misc_RNA from 1 species